GCUGGGCGUGGUGGCGGGUGCCUGUAGUCCCAGCUAUUCGGGAGGCUGAGGCAGGAGAAUGGUGUAACCCGGGAGGCGAAGCUUGUAGUGAGCCGAGAUCGCGCCACUGCACUCCAGCUUGGGGGACCCAGCAAGACCCCGUCUCAAAAAAAAAAAAAACUAAUGCCCAAGUCCCACCCCAGGCCAAUUGAAUGUCUAAGGGAAAAGCCCAAUAUAUNNNNNNNNNNAUAUAUUGGGCUUUUCCCUUAGACAUUCAAUUGGCCUGGGGUGGGACUUGGGCAUUAGUUUUUUUUUUUUUUGAGACGGGGUCUUGCUGGGUCCCCCAAGCUGGAGUGCAGUGGCGCGAUCUCGGCUCACUACAAGCUUCGCCUCCCGGGUUACACCAUUCUCCUGCCUCAG
rfam:Chlorocebus sabaeus isolate 1994-021 chromosome 19, whole genome shotgun sequence.